GUGGCUAGGAAAAACUCCCUAGGAAAAACUCCCUAGAAAGGCCAAAAACCUAGGAAGAAACCUAGAGAGGAACCAGGCUAUGAGGGGUGGCCAGUCCUCUUCUGGCUGUGCCGGGUGGAUAUUAUAACAGAACAUGGUCAAGAUGUUAAAAUGUUCAUAAAUGACCAGCAUGGUCAAAUAAUAAUGAUCAUAGUAGUUGUCGAGGGUGCAACAAGCACGUCCGGUGAACAGGUCAGGGUUCCAUAGCCGCAGGCAGAACAGUUGAAACUGGAGCAGCAGCACGGCCAGGUGGACUGGGGACAGCAAGGAGUCAUCAUGCCACGUAGUCCUGAGGCAUGGUCCUAGGGCUCAGGUCCUCCGAGAGAAAGAGAGAAAGAGAGAAUUAGAGAGAGCAUAUUUAAAUUCACACAGGACACCGGAUAAGACAAGAGAAAUACUCCAGAUGUAACAGACUGACCCUAGCCCCCCGACACAUAAACUACUGCAGCAUAAAUACUGGAGGCUGAGACAGGAGGGAUCAGAAGACACUGUGGCCCCAUCCGAUGAUACCCCCAGACAGGGCCAAACAGGCAGGAUAUAACCCCACCCAUUUUGCCAAAGCACAGCC
rnacentral:lncRNA from 1 species